ACUAUAAUAGCUUAAUUUAAAGCAGUGGUUUUGUAAACCAAAGACAGAUGUUGAACUCAUCUUUAUUGUA